rnacentral:rRNA from 1 species
UACGUAGGGUGCGAGCGUUUGUCCGGAAUUAUUGGGCGUAAAGGGCUCGUAGGCGGUUUGUCGCGUCGGGAGUGAAAACCUCGGGCUUAACUCGGGGCUUGCUUUCGAUACGGGCAGACUAGAGGUAUGCAGGGGAGAACGGAAUUCCUGGUGUAGCGGUGAAAUGCGCAGAUAUCAGGAGGAACACCGGUGGCGAAGGCGGUUCUCUGGGCAUGAUCUGACGCUGAGGAGCGAAAGUGUGGGGAGCGAACAGG